rnacentral:snRNA from 1 species
AUUGCUUCUCGGCCUUUUGGCUAAGAUCAAGAGUAGUAUCACUUUAUAUUUUAAAGAGACUAUUUUAUGAAGUAAGUUUUUAUACUAUAUAUAGUUUCACCUGUAUUCUACUAAAUGUUGAGAUCCAGUUUUGCUUUUAGGUAUCAUU